GGCCUAGUAGCUCAACCGGUAGAGCAUACGCGUAUAAGCUUAGGUGGCGUCCAUGCGUGGGUUCGAGUCCCACCGAGGCUA
rnacentral:tRNA from 1 species